GAUGAACGCUGGCGGCGUGCCUAAUACAUGCAAGUCGAGCGAAUGGAUUAAGAGCUUGCUCUUAUGAAGUUAGCGGCGGACGGGUGAGUAACACGUGGGUAACCUGCCCAUAAGACUAGGAUAACUCCGGGAAACCGGGGCUAAUACCGGAUAACAUUUUGAACCGCAUGGUUCGAAAUUGAAAGGAGGCUUCGGCUGUCACUUAUGGAUGGACCCGCGUCGCAUUAGCCAGUUGGUGAGGUAACGGCUCACCAAGGCGACGAUGCGUAGCCGACCUGAGAGGGUGAUCGGCCACACUGGGACUGAGACACGGCCCAGACUCCUACGGGAGGCAGCAGUAGGGAAUCUUCCGCAAUGGACGAAAGUCUGACGGAGCAACGCCGCGUGAGUGAUGAAGGCUUUCGGGUCGUAAAACUCUGUUGUUAGGGAAGAACAAGUGCUAGUUGAAUAAGCUGGCACCUUGACGGUACCUAACCAGAAAGCCACGGCUAACUACGUGCCAGCAGCCGCAGUAA
rnacentral:rRNA from 1 species